GACGAACGCUGGCGGCGUGCCUAAUACAUGCAAGUCGAGCGCAGGAAACUGACGGAACUCUUCGGAGGGAAGGCAGUGGAAUGAGCGGCGGACGGGUGAGUAACACGUAAGGAACCUGCCUCAAGGAUUGGGAUAACUCCGAGAAAUCGGAGCUAAUACCGGAUAGUUCAACGGACCGCAUGGUCCGCUGAUGAAAGGCGCUUCGGCGUCACCUUGAGAUGGCCUUGCGGUGCAUUAGCUAGUUGGUGGGGUAACGGCCCACCAAGGCGACGAUGGAUAGCCGACCUGGGAGGGUGAUCGGCCACACUGGGACUGAGACACGGCCCAGACUCCUACGGGAGGCAGCAGUAGGGAAUCUUCCACAAUGGACGAAAGUCUGAUGGAGCAACGCCGCGUGAGUGAUGAAGGUUUUCGGAUCGUAAAACUCUGUUGUAAGGGAAGAACACGUACGAGAGGAAAUGCUCGUACCUUGACGGUACCUUACGAGAAAGCCACGGCUAACUACGUGCCAGCCGCCGCGGUAA
rnacentral:rRNA from 1 species